AUUUGGUCAGAAGGACAGCAUCUCACUCCCUUCCACAGCCAAAAAGCAGGAACUCAGGAAUGUCCCAAACACAGUUUAAAUGAUCUUUCUGCACCAACUCUUUCAUACUUAUAGCAGAAAUCCACUUAAGUAAAUGGAGUUACACCAGGGUAAGAAAGAUGUGAAAGCAGAAUGAGGUCCCACAUAGAAAAAGAAUUGCAUGCAACUGCCCUAUGCAAUUGGAACACAAAGUAGCAGUGAAGACAAGAACUGAGCAAACAAGUCUUCAAACUGAAGAAUCCAUUAACCCAAAAAAUCCAGUUUGAUAUGAACCAAAAUCAAUUUUUUUUUCAAAAUCUGUCAAAUAAAAAAAAAUAAAAAAUAAAAUCUUUUUCAAUCAA